UUUUGCUCAAGACUUUACAUAAUUCAAGGGACAUUUUUAUAUUUAAACUAAAAUUGCAUAUUUCAAUACCUAAUAUUAAAUAAAUUAAUAUUUAAGUUUUAUUUCAAGCCAGCUAGUGGUGACAGUGGCGAGGAAAAAAUACUUCACCAACUGAUGAAGUGAAGAGAAACUUGUCUCUCUUGGGCACGACCAUUAUUCAUGUCCAUACGUUCUGUGUGAAGCUGCAGUCUAUACACCAGGCGCUGGAGAAGCUGGACGUUCAUCGUGGAGAAGCUGCAGGAAACAGUCUCAUGCACUCCAUUUCUCCAUGAUGACCACAGCAUAAGCUCGGGAUACGGCCUGGUCCAGGAUUAUGGAUACCUUGGGAUCAUCUUCUCACAGGUCUUGGAUCGCAUCAAUGGCACUGCAGAAUCUCGGGAAUGUGUAUCCUCAGGUGGAAAUAAAAAAUAAAGAAAAUGAUUAGCUUUG
rnacentral:lncRNA from 1 species